rnacentral:rRNA from 1 species
UACGUAGGGUGCGAGCGUUAAUCGGAAUUACUGGGCGUAAAGCGUGCGCAGGCGGUUUUGUAAGCCAGAUGUGAAAUCCCCGGGCUUAACCUGGGAAUGGCAUUUGGGACUGCAAGGCUCGAGUGCGGCAGAGGAGACUGGAAUUCCCGUGGUGUAGCAGUGAAAUGCGUAGAGAUGUGGAGGAACACCGAUGGCGAAGGCAGCCCCCUGGGUCAAGAUUGACGCUCAUGCACGAAAGCGUGGGGAGCAAACAGG